GUCCAGGACAUUUGGACAAACCGGAGCCAGACACAUCUGGCAGAGCAGACGGUCCCUGCCUCAGCCUGGACCCUGCGUUCUAUUUCCCUCCUGGUGGGCACGGACGGCCAGGCCGGUUUGGCCCUCCGUCGGGCAGGGGGCCUGCAGGCCCCCCACCCUGGGGUCGACUGGCCGCCCAGGGAGGAGGGAGGCGACCCCGCCCGCCUAAGCACGCCCCUGCGCUCCCCAGAUGUUCGUGGUAGCCGAGGCCGAUGCGGGCUCCUGCCUUUUGCACGAGUUCACCAUCUCGGGUACCACGUAUACCCCCGAGGGCGAAGUGCGGCAGGGGGAUCAGCCUGUGCGCUGCGGCCAGUUCGACGGGCUGGUGGAGCUGGCGACCAUCUGCGCCCUGUGCAACGACUCGGCGCUGGACUACAACGAGGCCAAGGGUGUGUACGAGAAGGUGGGAGAGGCCACGGAGACAGCUCUGACUUGCCUGGUGGAGAAGAUGAACGUGUUCGACACCGACCUGCAGGCUCUGUCCCGGGUGGAGCGAGCUGGCGCCUGUAACACGGUCAUCAAGCAGCUGAUGCGGAAGGAGUUCACCCUGGAGUUCUCCCGAGACCGGAAGUCCAUGUCCGUGUACUGCACGCCCACCCGCCCUCACCCUACCAGCCAGGGCAGCAAGAUGUUUGUGAAGGGGGCUCCUGAGAGUGUGAUCGAGCGCUGCAGCUCAGUCCGCGUGGGGAGCCGCACAGCACCCCUGAGCCCCACCUCCAGGGAGCAGAUCCUGGCAAAGAUCCGGGAUUGGGGCUCAGGCUCAGACACGCUGCGCUGCCUGGCACUGGCCACCCGGGACGCGCCCCCAAGGAAGGAGGACAUGGAGCUGGACGACUGCAGCAAGUUUGUGCAGUAC
rnacentral:sRNA from 1 species